ACGAACGCUGGCGGCGUGCUUAACACAUGCAAGUCGAACGGAAAGGCCCUGCUUUUGUGGGGUGCUCGAGUGGCGAACGGGUGAGUAACACGUGAGUAACCUGCCCUUGACUUUGGGAUAACUUCAGGAAACUGGGGCUAAUACCGGAUAGGAGCUCCUGCUGCAUGGUGGGGGUUGGAAAGUUUCGGCGGUUGGGGAUGGACUCGCGGCUUAUCAGCUUGUUGGUGGGGUAGUGGCUUACCAAGGCUUUGACGGGUAGCCGGCCUGAGAGGGUGACCGGCCACAUUGGGACUGAGAUACGGCCCAGACUCCUACGGGAGGCAGCAGUGGGGAAUAUUGCACAAUGGGCGGAAGCCUGAUGCAGCAACGCCGCGUGCGGGAUGUCGGCCUUCGGGUUGUAAACCGCUUUCGCCUGUGACGAAGCGUGAGUGACGGUAAUGGGUAAAGAAGCACCGGCUAACUACGUG
rnacentral:rRNA from 1 species